rnacentral:rRNA from 1 species
UACGUAGGGCGCAAGCGUUGUCCGGAAUUAUUGGGCGUAAAGAGCUCGUAGGCGGCCAGUUGCGUCUGCUGUGAAAUCCCGGGGCUCAACCCCGGGCGUGCAGUGGAUACGGGCUGGCUAGAGGCAGGCAGGGGAGAACGGAAUUCCCGGUGUAGCGGUGAAAUGCGUAGAUAUCGUGAGGAACACCAGAGGCGAAGGCGGCUACCUGGACAAUUGCUGACGCUCGGGCACGAAAGCGUGGGGAGCAAAAGGG